GACGAACGCUGGCGGCGUGCUUAACACAUGCAAGUCGAGCGGUAAGGCCCUUUCGGGGGUACACGAGCGGCGAACGGGUGAGUAACACGUGGGUGACCUGCCCUCAGCUCUGGGAUAAGCCUGGGAAACCGGGUCUAAUACUGGAUAUGACUCCAUGACGCAUGUUGUGGGGUGGAAAGCCUUGUGCGGCUGAGGAUGGGCCCGCGGCCUAUCAGCUUGUUGGUGGGGUGAUGGCCUACCAAGGCGACGACGGGUAGCCGGCCUGAGAGGGCGACCGG
rnacentral:rRNA from 1 species